GCGCGGGUGGCGGAAUUGGCAGACGCGCAGGAUUCAGGUUCCUGUGUCCUUUUUUGGACGUGAGGGUUCAAGUCCCUCCUCGCGCA
rnacentral:tRNA from 1 species